CCUACGGGAGGCAGCAGUGAGGAAUAUUGGUCAAUGGGCGAGAGCCUGAACCAGCCAAGUCGCGUGAAGGAUGACGGCCCUACGGGUUGUAAACUUCUUUUGUCAGGGAGCAAUUGAGUCCACGUGUGGUCUUAGCGAGAGUACCUGAAGAAAAAGCCUCGGCUAACUCCGUGCCAGCAGCUGUGGUAAUACGGAGGAUGCGAGCGUUAUCCGGAUUUAUUGGGUUUAAGGGGUGCGUAGGCGGAAUAUCAAGUCAGCGGUAAAAAUUCGGGGCUCAACCCCGUCGUGCCGUUGAUAUGGAUGUUCUGGAGUGGGCGAGAAGUAUGCGGAAUGCGUGGUGUAGCAGUGAAAUGCAUAGAGAUCGCGCAGAACUCCGAUUGCGAAGGCAGGAUACCGGCGCCCAACUGACGCUGAAGCACGAAAGCGUGGGGAUCGAACAGGAUUAGAUACCCGAGUAGUC
rnacentral:rRNA from 1 species